rnacentral:rRNA from 1 species
ACGAACGCUGGCGGCGUGCCUAAUACAUGCAAGUGGGACGCAAGGAAACACACUGUGCUUGCACACCGUGUUUUCUUGAGUCGCGGACGGGUGAGUAACGCGUAGGUAACCUGCCUAUUAGCGGGGGAUAACUAUUGGAAACGAUAGCUAAUACCGCAUAAUAUUAAUUAUUGCAUGAUAAUUGAUUGAAAGAUGCAAGCGCAUCACUAGUAGAUGGACCUGCGUUGUAUUAGCUAGUUGGUAAGGUAAGAGCUUACCAAGGCGACGAUACAUAGCCGACCUGAGAGGGUGAUCGGCCACACUGGGACUGAGACACGGCCCAGACUCCUACGGGAGGCAGCAGUAGGGAAUCUUCGGCAAUGGACGAAAGUCUGACCGAGCAACGCCGCGUGAGUGAAGAAGGUUUUCGGAUCGUAAAGCUCUGUUGUAAGUCAAGAACGUGUGUGAGAGUGGAAAGUUCACACAGUGACGGUAGCUUACCAGAAAGGGACGGCUAACUACGUG